rnacentral:rRNA from 1 species
UACGUAGGUGGCAAGCGUUGUCCGGAUUUACUGGGCGUAAAGAGCGCGCAGGCGGUCGUUCAAGUCGCGUGUGAAAGCCCCCGGCUCAACUGGGGAGGGUCACGCGAUACUGAUCGACUCGAAGGCAGGAGAGGGAAGUGGAAUUCCCGGUGUAGUGGUGAAAUGCGUAGAUAUCGGGAGGAACACCAGUGGCGAAGGCGGUCUGCUGGGCAGUUUCUGACACUGAUGCGCGACAGCGUGGGGAGCAAACAGG